rnacentral:tRNA from 3 species
GGGUGCUUAGCUCAGCUGGUAGAGCGGCGCCCUUACAAGGCGUAGGUCGGCGGUUCGAGCCCGUCAGCACCCACCA